rnacentral:rRNA from 1 species
AGCAGCCGCGGUAAUUCCAGCUCCAAUAGCGUAUAUUAAAGUUGUUGCAGUUAAAAAGCUCGUAGUUGAACUUCGGGGUUUACCCAUUGGUCAGGCUUAAUUGUCUGUACUGGUGAGAUGAAUCUCUACCUUCUGAGGAACUUUCAUGCCAUUUAUUUGGUGUGAUGGGAAAUCAGGACUGUUACUUUGAAAAAUUAGAGUGUUUAAAGCAGGCUAACGUCUGAAUACAUUAGCAUGGAAUAAUGAAAUAGGACGGACUGAUUCUAUUUCGUUGGUUUCUAGGAUCACCGUAAUGAUUAAUAGGGAUAGUUGGGGGCAUUAGUAUUCAAUUGUCAGAGGUGAAAUUCUUGGAUUUAUUGAAGACUAACUACUGCGAAAGCAUUUGCCAAGGAUGUUUUCAUUAAUCAAGAACGAAAGUUAGGGGAUCGAAGACGAUCAGAUACCGUCGUAGUCUUAACCAUAAACUAUGCCGAC